CUAACAUGUGUGCGAGUCAAUGGGUCUCGAUUAAGCCCAGAGGCGCAAUGAAAGCAAUGGCCGGCACGACUCCGGCUGAGUUGGGAUCCCUCCGCCCACGAGCGGGGGGCGCACCAACGACCCGUCCCGUCCGAUUUAUCGGUGGAGCGGAGUUUGAGCACACACGUUGGUACCCGAAAGAUGGUGAACUAUGCCCGGACAGGACGAGGCCAGAGGAAACUCUGGUGGAGGUCCGCACGGUUCUGACGUGCAAAUCGAUCGUCAGAUCCGGGUCUAGGGGCGAAAGACUAAUCGAACCAUCUA
rnacentral:rRNA from 1 species